rnacentral:lncRNA from 1 species
UACGGAGUAGCACCUCAGUAACGCCAAUAAAUAAGCGUGGUGUUGCCCGCUGGAAGCCUGGAACGACAGUGUGGCAGCAGGACGCAGGACGGCAGGAGCAAGGCCGCCCCCGCCCUCGGCUCACAUCACAUAAUGGCGAUGGCGAGCAGCUGCAGAUCCAGAUCCGGAACCGGAACGGUGGUGCUGUGCUUUCUUGUGGCCUCUCUCGUCCUCGUCCUGGCCUCCUCCUCCGUUGCUUCAGCUGAAGCAGCGGCGGCCUACGGUACGUAGACUUGACGCAGCGUACAAUACAAUCACUUCAGCUUUCAUCCAAACAUAGAUAGCUUCACGGUGCUGCAUAUGUUCUUAUAUAUGAUCUGAAUACAUGCAUGUGUAAGCAUCGUCACAUCGGCUCUGCAGGUGCAGGCAGGAAGAUGAAGCAGAUCACAGCAGCAGGAGCUGUGGCAACGAAGCAGGAUAACUACCCUGCAACUAAUUUACCAGAGAGUUACCCGACGGCGCCUAUACCAAGGGGAUACCCGACGACUCCCCCUGGAAAAUGAAUUAGCUGUUGCCGCGCGGCCGAUCGAGAGAACCCUGCAGGCCGCAGCUAUAUAUAUGUGCAUGACACAUGCCGAUUACCAUUUCUGAAUUACAGAUGCAGAAAUUAGCUUGCGUUUAUACAAACCCAACCUCAUGUCUCGCACUCUCUCUCGCUACAUAAUUAUUAGCACCUAUAUACGCGCGUGCCUGUUACAGUGUACUACUAAGCUAUAUAUUCUGCACCUGUGUGUAUGCCUGUAAUUAAGCUAUAUUAUUGUUUGAAAUAAAAAUAAAGUCAGCUUGGGGCACAAAUAUUUUCAAUCGUCUGGAAUCAUCCUUGUCUUUUUCGUGAAAUCAUCGUGACAGUUUAUUACCACAUCUGAGUGACCGAAAAGUUUAGGAUGCUUUUGUUACUGUGCUUCCCAUCGAGAUCGGGUUAUCUCGGCUGGAUAUAUAGCAUAAAAGAAUCUGCUAAAUAUUAUUCAGUGAACUGAAAGAUCAGCUACUCCCUUCAGGAUUCAUGAUGUGCGCGCCCUGGAACAACUCAGAUUACUCCACGUACCAGCAAAACCAAAACGACACAGGUACAGGGUUUCAUCAUCCAUGGUAUGUAGGCUUGGAUCCCGAGAACCGCCAGCAUGUGAACUGUGGAGGAUAAGGUUGUGUCGCCCUUUCCUCGUUCAACAUGACCUAGGUGAUGUUAAAGAACCGAUCGAUCCAGGGCAGUGUGCAGCUGGUGGCUCGAAGCGUGCACCACUAGAAACAGUAUUUUGCUCACGUUUGAAUUUUUUUUCCCGUAUGUGGUUCAAAAGAGCAGACUUUAGUACAAACAUAUGUGUGGGUCCAUGGCUAUGAACCACCGGUAUAAAUCUAGGAUUUUCAUUGACAAUUCACCUCAGUCAUGUUAAGUUCCCACCCAAAAACUUUUCAUCUCAUCCCAUCGAUGUUUGGACACAUGCAUGGAGUAUUAAAUAUAGAUAAAAAAAUAACUAAUUGCAAAGUUUAUGUGUAUUUUGUGAGACGAAUUUUUUGAGUCUAGUUAUUUCAUGAUUGGACACUAAUUGCUAUACUUACAAAUAUAGGCACCCAGAAACUUUUAUUUUUUCGAACUAAACAAGGCACAGUAAACAAUAAGUGUAAAUUGAUUCUACGCAUAGGCUAUUAUCAUCUUAAGUUACAAUCAAACCAUUUUAUAUGUGUACCGCCUAUGUACAAACAUUCAUAGCUAGUGAUGGUUUUCCUAAUCUGCCACCUGUGUACAAUCAUCUCUGUAAAUACACUUCCUCCUCAGAAUUGUAGACACCUAGCCAUAUUUCAUUGAUGGCAUCCUUGAAGGUCCAAAAAUUGCAAAACACAGGAGUAGGUUUUGAUCUUGAUUUCUUUGAAGGAGGUUGCUCAAGAAUCAAAGAUGAAGCUUCUCUCCAGCCUCUCCGCAUCAAGGAUUCAGAUAGAGUCUUAGUUCGUCUUUGACUCGAUCGAUGCCUUGUAACUUUGGUUCUGCUUCAGAUUUGUACAGUGUCUGUACAGUACGAGUAUGUUUGGUUCGUUUUCUAUACAAGACUGGCUAGCAAAACUAAGUCAGGCUAUAGCAAAACUAAGUCAGGCUAGUCUAAGUCUGCCCCUAGCAAGACAAGACCCGUUUGUUUUGUUGCACGUGCUAAUGAACUUGGCUAGGAUGAGUUCAUGUUGUCUGGCUUAGUUUGCAUAUAGUCAUCUCUUUCACCCCUUUGAGACAUUUUCUCAAACAUGUGGUGGACACCUCGGCUAGUCAUCUUCCACGAGCAGGGGUGAGCAUGGCAAGCACAGCAAAGCCGCGUAGCACACUAGUAUACAGAGGUAGUGGUUCGUAACCCUUUUCUACAGGCGGUUUGGUGAACCGCCUGCCAUGAUGGCAUGUGGAGAAUAAUUUUUCCACAGGCAGGUAAUUGAGAACCGUCUGUAGAAAUUAUAUUUCUACAGGUGAUUCAGUUAUAUCAACCGCCCGUAGAAAUAAAUUUCCACAAAAGAUUCCAUUAGCCAACCGCCAGUGGAAACAUUAUUCUCGAAAAUAUAAAAUCGGCUUUUAAAAAUAGGGAAAAAAAUUAAUCAGCCUAGUCGCAUCGCGCAUCUUUUCAUGUAAAAUCGCACGCUACGCGGCCGACGAGAUUCGAACCCGAGAUCUCUCCCUCGCGUGUAGCAUCCUCUACCACUCUGCUAUGUUUAUAUUAGAGUUUAGUUCCCCACAUAUUAUCCUAAACCAAGCAUAUAUUGAUUAUUUGAGGCCCUAAACGGAUUCAAAUGAAAAAGUUGUCAACUACAAAGUUUCAUAGCUUUUUAAGAUCUGCAACUUUUAUAUUGAUAGUUUUCUCCAUCCGAGGUCAUUUAUAAAAUUUGAAUUUCAAAUUUAAGAAAUUCAAACGUAAUUUUCGACGAGAAGAUGAUUUCAAAUGAAAAAAUUAUCAACUACAAAGUUUCACAACUUUUCGAGAUCCACAACUUUCAUUUUAGCAUUUUUUCAAACGAGGUCAUUUGAAACGCUCAAAAAAUUAAAUUUCAAAUUAUUUCUAUAGGCGGUUUUCUUAAUAAACUGUCUUCGACUGGUUCGGUCUUCAUCAUUGACGUUUGAUGGGCUUGCGUGGAUGCAGCUAGAAGAAGUAGCUAUAGCAGAAUCGGGAGCAUGGAGCCAUAGAGGCAAGAAGAAGGUCUAGAGGUGGCAGAGCAUCCUCCUUCAAAGACGUGGAUCCCCUUCCCCACAACGAAUCUGGCCAUGGAAGCAGGGCAUACUCAACGAAUAUAUGUGCUCAACGAAUCUGCGCUCGAAGUCAUGGAAGUGAGUGAGCUGCCGGCGGUGGUUGAUGGUGGCCCAUUCGGCGAGGCCGGUGACAUGAAGCACGGCGAGGCGGAGGACGACACCAGGGAGGAAGGCGAGCACAACAAGGACCAUGGUGUGCACCAGGCUUCAGCAUCAACAUGCUUAGAGAUGAGAGGCGAGCAGGGCCUUCGUCGAGGCAGCAAGCAUGACGAGCAUUGCGGUGAAUGCUAUGGGGAGGAUUACGGGAAGAGCACUAGCAGGGCGGAGGAGCAUCACUACAGUGACCUAGGGGUGACGAGAAAGGAGGACAUGAUUGGCUCGGGCCUAGCUCCAGGAGAACGGUCAAUUCGACCGUUCGACCCUAGCCAGGCCCCAACAGUAGGGAUGGCUCUACUUGGCUAGACUCCAUGCCCAAUCCAACCAAUCAAAUAGCCAAAAAUUGGCCCCAGAAAGUCUAGUUUGAGCUACUCAACCAAACACACCCUAUAAUCUCUCCCCUCCUCCUCCUCCUCCCUUCUCCCACCUCUGUUGUAAGUAUUCCCUUAGACUUGUUCCGCUCCUUUUUGUUAUAAAAUUUCAGAUCCCCUGUGGGGCCAUGAGUUUUUUGUGUCAAAAAAGGUUGCUCAAGAAUGUUAGUUAAUGCCCAUUCUAAUAUAUCUUUUUGACUAAAUCCUCCAUAAUUUAUGGCAUCAUUAGAUUUAGUUUUCAUUUCAUGGUUCAUAUAUGGAGAGAGAAAUGAUGGUGUUUGGGUGUUCUAACACUAUAAUAAACAAAGUUUCUGUCCUAAAAUUGUUAUAUUUGGUAGCUUCACAUGCAUGUUUCUUCCAUUAUAUGUCUUCAAUUUCAUAGUUUAGCAAAUUUAUUUAUUAAAAUAGAUUAAUUAAUUACCCAUACAUAUAUGCUAAAUUAUGUGUUAUUGAUUUCAGUGUUAAUUCAAAUGAUUACAAUAAGUAAUAAACAUGCAUAUUUCUAAGAAAAAUGGAUUAAAAUAUUCAACUAUAUAUUAAUGUAUUUUUUAUUUGAUUUGAUUAAUCACUAUCAUCUCAUAAAUACACUAGCUCUUCAAAUCAUGAGAAAUGUACAGACCUAGCCAUAUUCCGUUGUUGGCGUCCUUGAAGGUCCGAAAAUUGUAAAAUACAGGGGCAUGUUUUGAUCUUGAUUUCUUUGAACGAGGUUGCUCAAGAAGGUUAGUUAAUGUGCAUCCUAUGUCCUUUUGAAAGAAUGCUCCAUAAAUUGUGACCUAAUUAGAUCAAUUUCCAUGGUUCAUGUACGGAGAGAAAUGAUGGUGUGUUUGGGUAUUCUAACACCAUAAUAAAUAAAGUUUAUGUCCGAAAAUUAUUAUAUUUGGUAGCUUCUCAUGUCUAUUUCAUUAUAUAUCAUCCAUUUCAUAAUUUUUGGAUCAUACAUGCAUAAAUUAUAUGGAUGAAAUCUAUAUUCUAAAACUUAGCACUAUUAGAGAAGUUGGCUUAGAGCUAGUACCUAGCUCUAACCACUGCGGAUGCCCUCAAAGUACUAUAAAAAUAUAAUAUUAUUCUAUGAAAAAAUGCUACCGGCCCCAAGUCAAAAUUCCUUCAGAGUUGACCAGAACCAUCAGAACAAGUGGGCAUCCAGAAUUUGUGUGGGUGUUGCGUCCUAAACUACUAAAAAAUUUCUCUUAGAUGGCAUCACUAUUUAUUGAAUGGAGGCGAGCACUAUUUUUUACUGCCUCUAUUAUCCCCAAGUUCGCCAACACUGAGCGACCGCCUUGGUCAACAGUUAACGGAGGUGGUCGCCUUAAUGUAAGCACCUCAGUUAGUUACUAAUUAACCUAGGCAGUCGAAUUAAUACAAUUGUCUCCAAAAAUGAUGCGGCCGUAUUAAGAAGCUUGCCUUCAUAAAUAAAUUUUCGGAGGUGAACAUACUAUAAGGCCCGCCUCCGAAAAUACUAAGGCCCAAAGGAGCAAUAUAUAUAUAUAUAUAUAUAUAGAGAGAGAGGGGUAUACUAUUAGGAGCUUAGGGCUCCUAAUAGUUAUUAGAAGCCCUAGUCUAAUGUGUGCUUUCUGGUUCCACCAAACCAGGUACAGCCCACUAACCCAUCCAACAGUCCACCAGGUCCAAUAUAUAUACCCCAAACCCUAAUCCCACCCAUCCAGCCACCCUAGCCGCCGCCACCCCCAACCACCCCGUCGCCUCUGCUCUGCUCUCCUCUGAGAUGGCCCUGCAGGUGCAGGCCCAGUCGUCUCUCCUCGGCCGGUUCGCGGCCAUCACGGCCGGGUGCAGCGAGGUGGAGCCGUGGGCGGCCGUCGUCUGCGGGUUCGUGUCCGCGUGGGUGCUCAUCAGCGCCAACGCGCUCGCCGCGCGCCUCAAGUUCGACGACCCGCUGGAGGCGGCGCAGCUGCACGGCGGGUGCGGCGCCUGGGGCGUCCUCUUCACGGGCCUCUUCGCGAGCCAAAAGUACGUGGAGCAGAUCUACGGCUCCGGGAGGCCCUACGGGCUGUUCAUGGGCAGCGGCGGGAAGCUCCUCGCCGCGCAGAUCAUCCAGAUCCUGGUGAUCGCCGGGUGGGUGAGCUGAAGCAUGGGCCCACUCUUCUACGCGCUCAAGAAGCUGGACCUGCUGUGCAUCUCGGCCGACGACGAGAUGUCCGGCAUGGACCUCACCAGGCACGGAGGUUUCGCCUACAUCUACCACGACGAGGACCCAAGCGACAAGGCCGGGGGUUGGUGGGUUCAUGCUCAAGUCCGCGCAGCACCGUGUCGAGCCGCCGGCGGCGACAGCGACCAGCAACCAGGUGUAAAAAUCAGAAGCAAAUUAAAACCUAUCGAGCUGAAGUUACGUGCUUGCCUUUUUCAGUGUGUCAUCGCGUAUUCAUAUUUGAUUUUGAUCUCGAUCAUAUCUGCCGGUACUGUUUGGGCAAUACUUCGCCACUCUUCGGAGUCGCAAGAAUUUGUGUAAAUUAUUAGAAAGCUGUCCACUAGUUGAUAAAUGUGAAGAAUGGUUUACAGAUAUUCUUGAAUAUUAACCCUUUUAUUUUUGUAUAGUUUUUACACUGAUUUACUACUGCAUGUGGUGGAUUAGUUUGGAUCUAAAGUGUUCAGUAGUAAAGAUUACGGACUACUUACUACUACAGUUCUGGUUUGGUGAUUACUACUUUCUCCAGAGAUUAUGGUCGAUUACAAUUGACUUUUAAAAUCGAUUUUUUUUUCUAUGCUUGAUGAGUUAGCUUUUUAUGCGUUCAAUUCAUGUGUGUAAUGUGAUUUUAGCUGGAGUUGCUCUUAGAAAAGUAUCUAGUCGGUUACUUUGCUUGCAUGCAUAGUUUUCUACGCAUGGUGAGACUGUGUUUUCAGGCCUCAUUAAAAACUUAUAUUCAUAUUUCUAUGCACCCACUCGGCCAUUUAGGGGGAGCAUUCUAGUCAUCUAGGCUUGGUCUCGGGCUCGUAUCGGUCUGAUCCACUCUUGACUAUGUGUUCUAUGCUUCACGAGUUAGGUUGUUACACAUUCAAAUUCACUCUUCACGAGUUAGGAUUCUAUGCAAUUCAUUUUCAUGCAAUUUUGAAUUUUGGAUGUAAAUUUCUAAUUACUUACCUCCACUAAGCUUUCUAUGCUUAGAAGUAAUAAUAUGUCGUGGGUAGUGGCUGCUUGCCCCAUGACAUCCGAUAUAUUUGUUGGUCUCCCCAGGCCAUCCAUCUGAGCUAUAGAAUGAACAACAAGGUCAAUUUAAAAUUUAUUUCUCCAUUCAUCUAUAUCGGAUGCUUCUAAAUUUUGACGGAUUAUUCUAUGCACGGUUACAUUUCUAUACGUAUACUCAACUUUCUGUGAUUUUAUCACUAGUGUUUUUAUGCUUCUAGUGGCAAGGUUCUAUGUGUUGUUACAUUUCCAUAUGUAGAAGCAUGCAACUCAGUGCGAUAAUCUAGUGGCAAGGUUUAUGCAGAAUUUUAUAUACAUUAACAGAUCAUAUUUUAUAUAUUGUUGGAACAUAAUUUUAUACAUUAUUCAGGUAUAUUUAUAUAUAAUGUUGGAUCACAUUUUUAUACAUGUUUCUAUAGUUUUUAUGACAUGCAUUCUUUUGGAUGACUUCUAUACAUCACUAGAUGAUACAAAAAUGCAGUCCACAGCCGCGGUGUUAGUAUGAAGCAGCGGUGGCGGUUGGUGGCGUGUAGUUCACGGCGGCGGCGCUAGUGCGACUCAGUGGUGGUGGUCGGUUCGAUGGAAGAUAGCAAAGGAGCAGCACGACGCGACCAGGGAUUUUUGCAAUUUGUUUGUUGAAUUUUAGUGUUCUUAUGCUUGUGUGCAUAAGUUUCGAUACACAUAAUGGAGCACUUCUAUACAUUUUUGUAUUCUUAAUGCUUGUGAGUAUAAGUUUCUAUACAUUGUUGGAGCAGGUCUAUGUUGUUUUUAUGCGAUAAUAAAUUCACUUUUUAUUCAUCAAAUUACUAAAUUCUAUGUAAUGCCGGCACAAAAAAUAUUUAAGUGUAUCUUGAUCACUGAAUUUAUGAAUCCGGUCGUCUAUCACGUGCUAUUUUUUCAAAAUUUUAAAUUUUCGAGAAGACGAGAUCGUCUUUAUGUUUUAUGUGUGCGGUUCUCAUGGUCUAUGUGUUUCUAUACAUUGUUUCCUAUAUUACUUAUGCAUCCUCUCUAGAGAGCAAGGUGUGGUUGGACGCGGUCACGAUUUUUCAAAUCAAUAAUAUGCAGAAGGGAAGGUUUUUACGCGACAAUGAAAUUAUUCUUAUUCACCAAACCACUAAUUUCUAUGCAACGUUGGCGCCAAAAACUUUUCUACGCAUUUUGACUAUUUGAUUCUAUGCAUCUAAUCGUCAUCACGUGCCAUAAUUCAAAUCACGGUUGUGUCGGAUGAAAUGUCCAUCUCGCGGCUUUAGAUGGUAACAAAAUUAAUUUUUAUUCAUUCAACCACUAACUUCUAUGUAACGUCAGCACCAAAAAUUUUCUGUGCAUCUUGGCCAUUGAUUUUAUGCAUCCAAUCGGCCAUCACAUACCAUGAUUCAAAAGUCAAAGUUUAGAGGAAGACGAGAUCAUCUCCAUAUUUGACACGUCCAGUCUCUAUAUUUUAUAAAUUGUUCCUAUGUUAGUUAUACACCCUAUAGUGAGGAGCAUGAUAUUGGUGGAGGCAAUUACAGUUGUUUCGUGAAAUAUCUAUCUCGCAAAGAAGUUUUUAUGCGAUAACAAAAUUAAUUUUUAUUCACCCAACAACUAAUUUCUAUGCAACAUCGACGUAAAAACAUUUUUACGCAUGAUACUUGAUUCUACGCAUCCAAUCGGCCAUCACGUGCUGUGAUUUCAAAUUUAAAAUUUAUGAAUUUUAAAUUUUUUCAAAAAAAUAUUCACAAUGGAUCUUGAAUCAUGCACAAAAAUAUCAGAAGUUUAAUGGUGAAAACCGUUUUUGAAUCGAAAGCUUCAUUGAGGAAUUAUUAAGAAAAAAUGGACGAGAUUAGAAUGGAUGCAUAUAUGACUGCAUGUGUCAGCUUGUGUCAGUACGUGUCAGGUGCAGUUAGGUGGAACGACUAACUCGCAGAAAGGUUUCUAUGCGGUAACGAAUUGAUUUUAAUUCAUGCAACCACUAGAUUUUAUACAUUGUUGGAAUAAAAAACUUUCUGCGCAGUCUGACCUAGGAUUUUAUGCGUUCAAUUGGUUGGGACCCCAAGGGGUCCACCAUCUGCGCGCAUGUCAACUUCGUAGUGGGUUAGGUGGGAUGGCUGGCUGGGGCUUCCAAUAGCUAUUUGUAGCCCUGGGCUCCCAAUAUACCAGCCCUAUAUAUAUAUAUAUAUAUAUAUAACCCUAGUUCACUUUAUUCACCCUCAGAAGCGCCUCAACCCCAUGUGGUGCCCUUAGCUUUGCCCCCUCUCGCGCGACUCUGUCACCCUCUGUGCCCCCUACGUUGCUCGCACCUCCCUCUCCUCUCCUCCCCAUUCAGUGCACGUGCCCCCUCUAAUCUGUGUUGUGUGGCGCUUGUGCCCCCUCUCACUGUCUACCUCUUGCGCAUGGAGCACGGUAGCCGGUGGUAGCCCUCUCUGUCUCUCUAACACGGAGCAUGGUGGCUGGCAGUGGCCCUCUCUGUCUCUCUUGCAUGUGGAAUGGUGGAUCCCAAUGCCCGAAGGACCACAGAGGUGGAUCCCGGUGGCCACCACCAUAUCCAGCGAGGAUGAGCCUGAUCCAGCAGCGACAUAGCUCAAACAGCCAAACCCUAGUGGUCAGAGGAGAACGAAGGUGGAUCCCAAUGGCCACCACCAAAUUUGACGAGGAGGUACUCGGAUCCGGCGAGGAGUAGCCUGAUCUGGCAGCGGCAUAGCUCCAACGGCUGAAUCCCGGCAACUAGAGGAGCACGGAGGUGGAUCCCGACAGUCACCACUAGAUCCGCCGAGGAGGAUCCUGAUCCAACGGUGGGCGGGCAGAUCCGUGCGGUGUGUGCGGUUCUGCGAGGAAGCAAGUGCCAGUGAAUGGUGGCGGUGGUGGGGGCGCAUGGAUGGGCUCACGGGGCCCGUGGAUGGGCUUGGUGGGCUCAGGUUUUUCUUUUUUAUUAUUAUUAUUUUUGGUCGAUUAACCAAGGUGAGAAAGGCAAUUGCCUCCGUUAAGCCUCUAUUAGCCAAGGCCUUUGAUUGGAGGCGGUUGCAAUGCCCAUCUCCAUUAACCCUUUUUGCCCACCUCCAUAGAAUACUACAGUAGUGGGCCAUAGGCCAUAUAAUGUGUUGGAGUUCCUUAGCAGCGUGAAUAGGGUCCUUUAUUGGCCACCCCUUAAACUAUAUAUUUAGUAGCCAAUCCUUAAUUAGGGUUUAUAUUUUGCUUAGACUAAUUCAUGAUCGAACAGUUUCAUUUGCCAUAUAUUGUUUUGUGGAACCCCAACUUCUGAACUUCAUAUAAAUCUGCAAUAUUUUUCCAGUUCACACGCAUGGAUAAGCCUUCUAAGUGGCUUCAAUUGGGAAUUGCAUAGUUGAUAACUAGUGAAGACAUAGUGCUAAAGGUACAGGUCUAGGUUGUUGUGAUGCAAACCCACAGUGUACAGUAGAAACAGUGAGCAUGUAUCUUGUCUGCUCUAGUUGUACCCAACAGUCCUGUAAAAACACUUCAGUUUAGUCCUUGUUUAGUUCUUAAAAAUUUUCAAGUUUUUCUAUCACAUCAAAUAUUUGAACGUAUAUAUGAAGUAUUAAAUAUAGAUUAAAAAAUUACUAAUUGCACAUGUGAUUUGCGAGACGAAUUUUUUUAAGCCUAAAUAGUCCAUGGUUGGAUAAUAAUUACCUAAUACAAACGAAAGUGCUAUAAUAACCAAAUCUAAAAAAAUCAUAAACUAAAUAAGGCUUUAGGCUAAUUCUGUUCGCCUAGCAAUAUUUCUCUCAUAAUAAAUCAACGAUUUCGGAGCUUUUGCGAACAGACCUGUCCUACGCUUGUCUUGACAGCGAUCAUUAUGUGCCUAGACUAGACGCGUGACUUUUGCCAACAUGAGCAGUAGUAGUUGUCUACAGCUAGAUUCUUCCUGUUGCACAUACCAGCCGGUCCAGCCCAUUCAAAGACAGUAUCACACCGACACUGACUGAAACAGAGCUCCUUGUCCUUGGAUGUCACGGGGAAUUCUCGGUUCUGAUGAUAUUGAUUUGUGCUUUAUUUCCACACGUUACUAUGUUUGUAAUGACUUUUUCUCUCGAAGUAUUAUCAAUGUUGCCGAGACAAUUUCACGGGAUACAUCAUUUAAGCGGUCUCAAUGCUAAGUUUCAUCUUUCAGUUUCUAAAAUAUGAAACUUUGAGAUAAAAUUAAUCUAUUUCUCAGUGUAUAGUUUUAUUGCAUAGUUUUAUAGAUUAUUUUUAGUCUGUUGUGGGUUCCAUCGUCACUCUCUUUUCUCUCUUUCCUCACCGACGCCAUGGCCAAACACCGCAAUAUUGUUCCGCUCUGUGGCUACCACGAAGCAACGCACUUCAACCUCCUCAUCUAUGAGCUGAUGCCCAACGCGAGCCUGGACCAGGUGCUGCAUCUACAUGCGAACCACCAGUUCUGCCUCCUCGGUAGGCUUCCUCGCUGUAGAGCCACGCGGAGGGGCUCGGCGGCCGGAGGAGCCCGCGGCUGAGCUCGUGAAGCCCACGGCAGUGGAGCAAGCACCCACGACAGCGGAGCUCGCACGCAUAGAGCAGGCACCCGCGACGCCUCACCCACCUCCGGCGGUUUUCUCACGACGAAGGUGCACGCCUGACAGUCUCGUUUGCAAUAGAGGCGCGCCCCGCAGCUUUGCCCGCGCCCAGCAGGUGUGCUCGUGGCGGAGGUGCCUCACCUAUAUCCGGUGGCCUCACUAGAGGCGGAGAUGCACCCGACGGCCUCGCCCGCUUCUGACGAUGGCAAGCUCGCUGUCCUCGUACACGAAGGAAGAAGAAGCUGCGAUGAAACGAACUGAGGCUCUCAACGCGCAUUUCACACAGUUUCUGAGUCCUUGGAAACGCCGCUGGGUCGUUUCAAUGGGAUGAAACGAUUCCUUCUCUCUUUGCUCUCACUCUGCUCUAGUUUCAUGCAAAAACUCCAAAUUUACUGAUGUGGCAUCCUAUUUAAUAUGCAUGAAAUUCCCUAUGAAAUUCCAUUGAGACUAGCCUUAGGCUCAGUGUAGGUUUUAUAGCUUAGUUUUCAAAACAUCCAUAUUUUAGAAACAGUACAGAAAGUUUUAACUCUUAUCACCUCUCUAUUCAUUAAUACGGUGGUCUAACAUGUUCUUAAUGUAAUCUCUCUCCCCUGCCAUCCUGUAACUUGAAUUCGCUAGGACACUCUCAUACAGACUUAGCAUAAUUUUUAUGGUCAUUUAUUACCUUGCUAUUUAUUAAGUUUUCCUGACGUGGCAUUGUAUUUAUCGAAAAAAGAGAAAAAAGAGCAAGAAACGAAGUCUAAGUUAGACGCGAUGUCUACAAGGUAUCGAGGCAGAAGAAACCACACUCGUUCUCAUUGCGUAAGCAGUGGUGGACCCAGGAUUUGGUUAGGACUAGGACCAAAUUCUAGUAGCGAAAAGCCAAAAACUACACUGUUGUUUAUAUAAUCUAUGUAUAAAACUUGUUAUUACAAAGAAAAUUUUUUAGAUCAGAAAUUCUCCAACUACAUAUUGCCAUACAAUUUAUAAGAAUACAACAUUGAACUACAAAAAUAAAUACUUAGCAAUAACAAGAAUAUAACAUUGAACUACAAAAAUAAAUACCUAGCAAUGAUAUGCUACAUUCGCAUUUUCAUGUCCUUUUCAGUAACGCCUAAAUCUAGACACAAGAUGUGAGAGUUAAUUAAUUAAAAAAGACAAACAAAAAAGUAAGUUUACUGUAGUUAAAGCUAUUGGGCUAAGGCCAUGUUUAGUUGGAGAAAUUUUUUGGCUUUGGCUACUGUAGCACUUCGUUUGUAUUUGAUAAUUAUUAUCCAAUUUUGUAGACUAAUUAGGCUCAAAAGAUUUAUGUUGCAAAUUAUAGGCAAACGGUGUAAUUAGUUAUUUUUUAUAUCUAUAUUUAAUUCUUCAUGCAUGUGUCUAAAGAUUUGAUAUGACAAAAAAAUCUUCAAUUUUUUUGAAAAUUAAACAAGGCCUAAACUCUGAUAAAUUAAUAAGACAAUGGUCCAGAAAUUAAAGAGUUAUACCUAGAAUAUCUAGUCUACCACAUAGUAAAGCACAAAUCAAUAUCAUCAGAACCGCCAAUGGGCGGAAGAAACCAUGCCUGUCCACGUUGGGGAAGAGCGGACCGAGCCAGAAGAAACCACGCCCGUCCGUGUUGGGGAAGAUGACGGUAGUUUCCAUCGAGCAUGCAGAUCCCAUGCGCCUUCUCCCAUUCUCCCAAUGAUUAUUUCAUUAAGAAUAAACAUAAAUGUUAUUUGUCACCAUAUAUAGUUUUAUAGUUUUUCGACCAAGAAAAAAAAUCCAAGUAGCCGUUCAUUUUAAUAAAUAUAUGUUAAUGAUUCAUGCUAAUAAAUUACAAAUGUAAAUUAUACGUUUUGAUUGAAACAUAUGAUAUAUCAAUACUAGGAAUUUAGAGCCUAUUUGCUUGUCUAAAAAAUUAUAGCUGAAAAUAUUAUUUGCUAAUUUAUUAUGAGAAAAAAACACUGUUGACUGACAGAAAAAUACGGCUUAUAAAAAAAACGAAGUCUUAGUUCUAACACUCUCAUUUUUGUAGAAUAAUAUUAUAUACUUAAUAGCACUUGGAUAACCGAAACUCACCAUCUUGAGCACUAUAGGUCAUAUAGGAUGUGAGCUGAAAUGACUGUUUGUACCAUUAAAUUAACAAAGAGCAUGGUCUACGAGACAGUCAAAUUUUUGACCCAAAAAAAUAUAAAAGAAGUUUUGAAUAUAAAAUUAAUACAACAAUAAUCAGAGUUUGAACUCACACAAACAUAAAAACUAAUGAUCUAAAAAAUGGAAACUAAUAUAUAUAGACUUAUAAUGUCACAAAAAUAACGCAACAGACCAAUUAUAUAAUUUAAGCUAUGUUUUUCAACUAAAUACAUAUUAAAAACCAAUGAAGAUGUAAUACUCCCUCCAUUUCAAAUUUUAAGUCAUUCCAAGAAUCGUGUAGAGUCAAAGCAUUUUCAAGUUUGACCAAAAAUAUAGAGAGAAAUAUAAAGAUUUAUGUCAUAAAAUAGAUACACUAUACAAAUAUAACUAACAAAGAAUGUAAUGAUACUUGGUUGGUACCAAAAAUAUUAUUAUUUUACUAUAUAAAUUUGGUCAAAUUUGAAAAACUUUGACUCUCUAAGAUUCUUAGAAUGACUUAUAAUUUGGGACGGAGGGAGUAGAAAUGAUCAAUACAUAACAUAGUGUAGUUGGUACAACUAUCACGAGUGGAUAAAGUGUAUACAAGUGGGUAUAUUGUUUAAAAUAUGAAUUGAGUGUGUAAACAUAAUUGAUUUCGUCUAGUUGUACAAGCAUGCAGCAGGCUUCAGGAGUUCUUGGGCUGGGGCACAAUGGUACAUCUCCACUCCCGUGGGCCAACGUCCCAUGGGCCCAUCAUUCUUUGCGGCCCAGCCUCCGCAACACGACACUCGGAGGCCCGAGCGUGGAAGUGUGGAACGCAGGCGGCGGCGGCGGCGCUCGCAGGCUCGGCGCCUCGUUGGUUCGCCGGCUCCCUCAGGCUCCCAGUCCCGCCCUCCAGGUUGAUGUUUUCCUCAUCCACUUCCACGCCACCACACUUUCGCCUCCCCUUGAUCUGCUCUGUUUGGCCCCCGCUGCCAUGCCGCCAUCAGUCUGUCACCGUGUGCCCGUCAGUCCGCCAUGAGGAGCAUGUCGUCACAAGCUCAGCAAGUCCGGCGUUCGGGCCCUUCUAAAGAGGUGCGUUGUCCAUUACCUAAUUAACUUCUCCCGUACUUAGCUGGUGACGUGAUGUGUCAUGGUGCUCUCUAGGUGCUUGUUGAAUUGCCUGUGAGUGAGUAAAAAAGGUGUGUCCACUGUCUUGCCUGUGAGUAAAUCCUACCCUGUAUAGCAAUGAUGUGGCCUGUAAGAGAUCGCAGUCUAAGUUCACCCUAGCUUUAUUCUUGGGCAGGGUCCCCCACUGAUGCAAUGUAAGAGUUUAAACAGUGGUGGAGCACAGGUUCAUGAACUAAUUUCUCUGAAUCAAAAAAAAAAGUCCAAACCACAUGCCAAAUGCAUAUAUAGUUUGGUUGAACACCAAAUAUUUUCAUGUAGUUUACUGGAAUUAGUUCACAUUUAGCUAACAAGAUAUGAAGAUUUUCUCCACUCUCCAAGUCACAUUUGUUCCCAGCAAACAUAUAGGGAUACAUUCAGUGCAGUGAAAAAAAUAUUGGCAUAAAUCUUUUUUAAAAAAGCACCAUGAUCAUUAUUUCAACGUAGCAUUGCACCAUGAUUACUAAGGAUCCAGUUGGCUGAGCUCCCAAAGUAGGUUUCCAUCUGAAUUCAGAAACCUUUGCUACACACACACACACAGAGAGAGAGAGACAAAAAAAAACCCUCACUUCUGACUCACUUAUCGCAUGUAAUCAUUUUUUUACAUAUAGUUUAUCACAUAUAGAGAAUGCAAUGUGAACUUUCAGGUAGAGAAUCACUUCUCGAAAGCAUAGAAUUAGAAGCAUAGGGAGCUCUAUCAAAACAGGCACUAAAAGUUAUUGAACUAUGUGUUGAUAUAUUUUUUAACUCUGAAUACACAUCUGGAUCACUUGGCACUUGGAUUGUAUUCCAUGGAGAUCAAUACGAUCACGUACCUUCCCACCUCCAUUGUUACCUUUACCCAGCCAAACUAACACAAGCGGCCCUGAUGGAGCGCAACUCGGUGGCCGCAUCCUUCAUGCUGAGCCUCUGGAACGGCACUGCCCGCGUGCAGCUGAGCCCCACCCUCACAGCGGAGACCAGGCACUUGUGCUCUGAGAUAUGUGCACCGCCAUCGUUGGAGCCACAGGACACUUGGCCAUCAAUCCCUUCAACCAACAGAAGCGCCGGGUCAAGGACAUGCUCGAUCUUGUCUGGGAAUGACGCGGCAACGAACUCCAACAGCGUCAGCCCGUCCUUGAACGCGUCAUCUGUUGGUGACCUCCCAGUGAAGAUCUCCAGCAGUGUGAUCCCAAAACUGUAGACGUCGCCAUAUGUUGACACCUUCCCUGUCGUGCCGUACUCUGCACAGCACACAAAUUAAAGCAGGGUUGACACUGUCAUGUCAAUAUAUGUCUGGCACACAAGAUGUUGGAGUUACCUGGCGGGAUAUAUCCAAUCGUGCCUCUCAAACCACCUGUGCUUGUGGUGCUGCAAGUGUCGUGGCUCCCCGGCUCAAGAAGUAGCUUUGCCAGGCCGAAGUCACCCACCACCGCCCUCAUGUCGUCGCUGAGGAGAACGUUGCUGGGCUUAACAUCACAAUGGAUGAUCUGUGGUACGGAGUUGGUGUGGAGGUAGCACAGCGCGUCGGCGAUGUCCACGGAGAUGUUGAGCCUUUGGAUUACACUCAGGUUUUUCAUGAUCUUCAACUCUUCAGACUUGGGGUUCAUGUUCAACCACCUGUCUAGGCUGUAAUUGGGCAUGAACUCGAACACCAGGGCUCUGAAAUCGUUGCCCCUCGCAUCCACGCUGACACAACAGGUGAUUAUCCUGACAAGGUUCCGGUGCCGGAUGUUCCGCAGCGCCUCGCAUUCCGAUACAAAUGUCUUGGAGGCACCAAUCUGACAGAGGUCGAACACCUUCACCGCCACAGCGACCUUGUCGGGCGCUGAAGUACCCUUCAGUAGCAGGGGCAGGGUGCCCAGGUACACGGACCCAAACUUCCCUACACCAAUCAGGUUGGUGUCUGCGAAGCUGUUGGUCGCUUUGUCCAGUUCAGCGUAUGAUAUUCUCUGAUAGUUCAUCUCGUCCAGGACAUCAUCCAGCGUUGCAUCAUCAUCAGUUUUAAUUGCUUGUCCCGGCCUUUUCCUGUACCACUGGAACAUGCUGAGGAGUAUGGCCAAGAAGAGAGCGAUGCUUAGGACAGGCACCACUAUCUGGAGAAGCCAGCGAGUAGGGUGUGUGUUCCUGGCUGCUGGACACCGGGGCAGGUCGAGCUCCGGGAUGCCACCACAGAGGUUGGCAUUCCCUGUGAUCUUGAACCCGGAAAUGUUGGUGAAUAUGCCGCGGAGCGGUACACUGCCAUCAAGGUUGUUGUAAGAUAAGUCCAGCUCGAUCAGGGAGGUCAGGUUCUCCAAUUCCUCUGGAAUAGUUCCUGUCAAGUCGUUUCUGGACAGGUACAGCUCCUGCAGGCCGGACAUCUGGCUGAGGUCCGGUGGGAUGCUCCCUGACAGCCUGUUGCUCGCUAAGUUGAGCCUCCUAAGACCCUUGAGCUUGCUCAGCGACGGUGGGAUGCUUCCGUCGAAGAAAUUACCAUCCAGAUCAAGAAACUCCAGGCUCUUGCAGUUGUCCAGCUGUUUCGGCAGCUGACCGGAGAAUUGGUUCCCGGUCAAUACUAGCUGGGCAAGGUUGGUGAGGCCGGAGACAUCAGGGGGAAGUGGGCCGUCCAAUCGGUUGUCAGACAAGUCCAUCACCAAGGACAAGGACACCAGACUGAAGAUUUCCCUUGGCACGUGGCCAGUGAGGGCAUUGCCCGAGAGGUUGAGCGAUGUUAGGCGGUUCAGGUUGCCUAGAGUGUGAGGAAUGGAUCCAUUCAGCGUGUUACUGCUCAGAUCAAGUUGGAGCAGCUGGGUGAGGUUGCCGAUGGAGGAUGGGAUUGGCCCGGUUAACCUGUUCCCCUGCAUCCCCAACUCUAUGAGGUUCUUGAUAUUCCCAAUCCCUUCCGGGAUGGUGCUGUUGAAGAGAUUGGAUUCAAGGUCCAACAAUUGCAGCCGACGAGGUUGCCGAUACCCGGUGGAAUCGGCCCUGAUAUGCGGUUGUUUCCCAGGUAGAUCGCUUGAAUCUCCCUCGAGAGGCGGCCAAUGGAGCUUGGCAACUCGCCACCGAGCUUGUUGUUGUCAAGGGCAAGGCCCUGCAGGUUGCUGCAGUUGGUAAGAUGGUCCAGGAACUCCCAGCCUUGAUCGUCGCUCGCCGUUAGGUGGUUACCCGACAUGUAGAGCCACUGGGGGCAGAGCAUACCGAUCUCGGGAGGCACCUGCCCAGUGAAGCUGUUGUUUGCUAGGCUGAGCCACGUUAGAUUGGAGGCCUUGGCAAGUGCCGCGGGGAUGGGGCCUGUCAGAUUGUUGCCACCAAGGUAUAGGCCCCUGAGAUUGGACAUGCGCGCGCCCGCGUCCGGCGGGAGGACACCAUGGAACGCGUUGUUGGUGAGGGCAAGAAACUGGAGCGACGACAUGUUGAAGAAGCCGGGUGGGAUCUCUCCUUGCAGAAGGUUCUGGUAUGCGCUGAACGUCUGGAGGGAAGGAAGAUCCAUGAGGCCAAGGGGCAGGCUGCCUUGCAGGUAAUUCUCAUCGACCCUGAGGGCCUGGAGCUUCGUGAGGUUGCCGAGCGACGGCGGGAUCUUGCCGGACAGGGAGUUGAGGUGCAGGUACAGGUAGGUGAGGUUGGGAAACGUCCCGAGCCACGUAGGGAUGGCGCCGGUGAGGCUGUUGUUGUUGAGGUAGAGGAAUCUGAGGCUGGUGCAGCUGCGUAGGCUUUCUGGAAUCUCCCCACUGAUGCCGAUGUUGUCGCAGAGGUCGAGGUACUGUAGGCGCCGCAGACUGCCGAUGCUAUCCGGGAUGGUCCCGGAGAGCUGGUUCUUCUCGAGGACGAGGUACUCCAGGUAUGUAAGGUUGCCGAUGGCAGGGGAGAUGGUGCCGGUGAGCCCAAGGCUGGAGACGUUCAGCGACGUGACAUGCCCGUCCGUGCACGCCACGCCAGGCCACCGGCAGAAGUGCGAUGUGCUGUUCCACGACUGGAGAGCACCAGACGACGACGCGCCCGACACGCCAGCCCUGAACGCCUGCAGCGCGUCCCGCUCGAUGUUGGAGUGGGACCGCUGCACGCCUGCCGCUAACAGCAACAUGAUCAGCAGCAGAUGCAGCUGCAGUGCGUGCGUUCCAGACGUGCGUGCGCCUGCCAUGCUCUCACGGUCGGAUGCCCAGGCGCGCACAGCGCAGGUCAUCUUGUGUGAGAUUCUGCGUGGUUUCUCCUUUCUAAUGUGUGCUAAUGGCAAGGCCUUGGCAUGUGCAGGCUUAUAUGGGUGUUGUGGCGGGAAGCUGCUGCUGAUGAUGAUGAUGAGUACAAACAGAGAGCAUGCAUGUGUGUCUGCUCUUGUUUCAGAGUUGUGCUGAUCGAACAGUCCUGCAACAACUCUUCAAUUUAGGCAGGUGACUUCGUCCUACACUUGUCUUGACAGCGAUCAUUACGUGCGUAGACUUGACUAAGUGACUUUUUCUAAGUGACUUUUUCCACAUGAGUAGCGGACUAAAGCUAGACUGUUCUUGGUGUCCAUUAUUGUUUGACAAUUUUUCUUCAUGGUGAUUUGACAUACCAGCCAAUUCAAACACAGUAUGGCACUGACGACACGGACUGAAACCGAACGCGGAGUUGAUGGCGGUGGUAAUUCGGUUAUGAGGAUAUUGUCCUUUGAUCGUUCUUGCUGACUUUGCUCUUUACGUAUCAAUCCAGAGGACUGACUGGCUGAGCAUAUAUGCUGCACAUAUUUCCAUAAUUGUGCUGGCUUUUCCUCUGCAGGGAUUCUCAAGUCUGCUGAGGCAAUUUCCUGGGUUCCAUCGUGUGUCUCCUUGCUGAGCUAGAAGUUCAAAUGGGCAAGACGUUUGAAUUCUUAGCCAGCUUUACCUCAGGUUCUGCACUGGCAAGGUUUUUCUUGCCCAGACAUGCUAGCCAAUAUGGCUCGCCGAGGCGAACAAGGUUUUGCUUGCCUAGACAAGCUAGGCGAGGCUAGCUGGCCGAGAGACCAAGCAGCCUCCUAAAAUUACAACUAGGGCCUUGUUUAGUUUCACCCAAAAUUCAAAAACUUUUUAAGAUUCCGUCACAUCGAAUCGCGCGGCACAUGCAUGAAACAUUAAAUAUAGAUAAAAAAACUAAUUACAUAGUCUGUCUGUAAUUUGUGAAAUGAAUCUUUUGAGCCUAGUUAGUCCAUGGUUGGACAAUAUCAAAUACGUUUGGCUGAUAAGCCAUGGUAGAAAGUACUGUUGGCUGAUUUAUUGUGUGAGAAAAACACUGUUGAUGGCUGACAGAUUCGACUGAUAAGCUGAAGUGAACAAUAGUGAGGGAACUAAACAAGGCCGGAAACAUGCUAGUUCAUUGUGACGUACAAUUUGUUGUAUUGUAUUUAUGCGAAUAAUAAUGUGCUAAAUAUUUUUCUGGAUCCAAUUGGGUUUGGCCCAACCUUAAAUAAAAAUCUAAGAGCCAUAAUAAAUGGUAGUGCAAUAAAGGAUUGAUCUCAUAUGCAAUAACUUAAAUGGGUGGCGUUUUGUGCAUGUUGUGAUCUUAAGAAAGUAUAAGGGACCGUGACUUAAAAAAAAAUUUCAGACGAAGAUAGAUUGGCUCUGAGAGACGCGAGCGCGACUCAUCGUCGGGGAACAGGGGUCACGGUGAUGGGUUAUUUGGUCAUGGGCAUUUUGUCAUCCUCCUUCAAAAUUACUGACAUGGUCAAACAAGUCAACUAACAGAAGGAUGGAGGAAAUGGAUGGUAAUGCUAUUUAGGGGAGGCAAUUUCAGUUCGGUUCUAGACAAGAAACUUUGAUUCCGGGAGUAUCUUAGAAGAAAGAUUCAUUUUUUACGCUGCUGCAUGAUCGGGCAUUAGCACCGGUCGGAAAGGGCCUGUUGCCCCGGUUCCCGAGCCGGUGCUGCCCUUCCGGGACUAAAGGCCCACCCUUUAGUCCCGGUUCGGGCAACCGGGGCUAAAGGGCCCCCCCCGCCCUUUAACACCGGUUGGUAAUACCAACCGGUGUUAAAGGGUCCUGCCAGGGCUGCCAUGUUGCAGGACCCUUUAACACCAGUUGGUAGGGUUUUUUUUUCUUUUUUUUGUUUCACUUCUUCGGUACUGUUUAUUGUUUAUAUAUAAUAUAUAAUAAUAGGUUUUUCAAUACAUGUUUUUCUGAUACAAUAAUAUAUUUAUAUUACACGCAUAUUAAGCAUAUAUAAAUGAAAAUUAUAGGCUUAGCUUAAUAAUUAAGCUUUGCCUAUAAUAAAAUGAAUAGACCACAUCAAAAAUUAAAUAGAUAUGUAAAAAGCUUUAUAUAUAUAGUUUUAUAUGUACAAAAUUCGUAACACAUAUAUACAUAGAGUUUUUUCUCCCAAUGUCUACAAACGAUACAAAUGAUCAUCGUUGUUUGGAAUAAGAGUUUCGUUGCUGUUGAAGUGAAACUCGCCGUUUGGAUUGAUCACUUGGUCGCGGAGAAAUCCUGCUAUCGUCUCUUGGAUAGCUUUGAUUCGGUCUUGUUGUAGGACCUUUUCCCUCAGCCAUUCCGUCUUUAAUUUGAAAUAAAUUAAAAAGGUAUUAGUUAUCUAAGUUGUUCAAUAUAAUUCAGGAGAUAAUGAAAAGAGACAUGUAACGUACUCUGAGCGUCUCUAUGGGUGUUUGAUUGACUUGUGCCAUCAUGAAUUUACACACGUAAUAUGCACAUAGAUUGUUCCCCCCUUCUUGUCUUAAACACCACUGUACGAUAUAUAUAUAUAUAAAUAUUCACGACCACGACAAUAAAAAGGCUAAAAGUUAGCGAAAGUUUGUUAGCUAGUAGAACUUACUUGUGGAUGUAUUAUGUUAAGCGGCGCUUUACAUCCACUGAGAUGUUCACGGUCAAUGAAUCUUUCCCAAACCCUAUACACAGCCAUUGUGGAUCGUGAACUAAUAAUUACAGAGUCAUAUUAUGAUAUUUUUGUAGCUGAGAUCGACAUUACGUACCUUUGAAUAAUGUUUACCAUUUGUUGAUAAUUUUCUUGUGGUUUUCUCAUUGAGUCAAAGAUUAUCAACCGGUUCUUGGGAAUUUCAAUGACCAUGAGUAUCCAGUGAAAGCUGUUUACACACACAUAUAUAUAGUCAGUCCUAUAAUGUAAAAUAAAAUAUGCAUGCACUUAAUAACUAUAUAACUAACUCGAAGUUGAAGGGGAAGAGUAUUUUUUGUUUUUCUUUUUGGUUUACAAAGAACCUCAUAAGAUUGGUGCAGACUUCUGUCUCAUGAUCUGCUGUCCACACCUGCGGAGCCUUGAAAACAAUAUAAGGGUUAACGAACCCAAUACUAUUGUCAUUUUUCAUUCUGAGCUCUCUCAUUUGGUGCCUGCAUAUAUACAUACAAAUCCUAAGUGUGUAAGGAUUAUAUACAUGUAAUUAAAGAAGUUAGAAGUAUAAUAAAAAGAAAAAAAUACUUACAGACAAAAGCAGCUGACAAGAGAUUUGUCAAGAGCGUCGAGGUGGCAUAAUUGGUGCAAUUCUUCGAACUGCACGUAUAUGAGGUCAUCUCCACGGAAGUAGUGAUGUUGUCUAAUACGAACAGAAAUCCAAUUAUCUUCCCUUUUAGACGCCUCAAUGCACCAUUUGUUUAUUGCAAACAUUUGUGUGCCGAGCUCGUGUAAACGCUUAGGGUCGAAUAGACUCCUGCCCGGUUCAUAUCUUGCCCUCCAUUGAUUAACUACCUCGGCUUUUUCAAAUGUUUGACAUCCAAGAAUGGCGGCAAUUUCUUCCAUAUUUAAACCGCUCUGUCCAAAGUAACGCUCAAGCGAGUCUAGCUCAGACAACACUAAGGAUUUUUUUGGCAUCAAGUCUUCAUUUGAGCCGUAUUGAUUUGGCACAAUCAAAGGGGGCACCGGUUUUGAUACUUCUCCGAGCUGUGGGACCCCCUUUCCUACUCUCUUCUUAGUAGGCUGUGAAGACUUGACCAGAGACCGCUCAUAGUCCGAAAGUGCUGGCUUUUUCUGAGCUUCGCGUUGCUUCUUUUGAUGGUCCGCCACCUUCUGCCUCAGUUCCGAUGGCUUCACAUAAAAGUACGGCUUUUCUGGGUUAAGCCGUUUUUCCCUAUCCUCCUUUAUUUUAUCAAAAAAUUGUUGGACCUCAGCUUUGGAUGUAGCAAUUACCUCCUCUUCACUCUUUUCGUAAGGUAAUUUUUCUGGCGUCUUAGCUCUCUUUGCUGAGGCAGCCUUCUUUGGAGGUAGGACCGAUGACUUCGGUCCUUCUUGGGCGGACCGCUUCUUACUACCUCGCUUUGGAGGCGAGGGGACCGACCGUGCACUCUAUGGAGAGGGCGGUGCAGGCGGUGGAGGUGGUGGGACAACUAAUGGCCUUAGGUAGACAUCUAUGUCAUUGCCAGGUUGCUUCGGUCCUUGGAUAAGCACCGGCAUCAUAAUAAACUUCCGCUUCAUGCAUAGCCAUGAAGGAAGGUUGUAGAUACAUAGAGUAACUGGCCAAGUGCUGUGACUACUGCUCUGCUCACCGAAAGGAUUCAUACCAUCUGUACUUAAGGCGAACCGCAAGUUUCUAGCAUCAUUUGCAAAAUCUGGGAAUUCUCUGUCUAUCGCUCUCCACUGGGAUCCAUCGGCAGGGUGUCUCAGCAUAUUGUCUAUCUUACGGUCUUCUUUAUGCCACCGCAACAACUUUGCAUUGUCCUUAUUUCUGAACAGACGUUUUAAUCGUGGUAUUAUAGGAGCAUACCACAUAACCUUGGCUGGAAUUUUCUUCCUAUGACGUUCUUCACCCUCAACAUCGCCAGGAUCAUCUCGUCUAAUCUUAUACCAUGAUGCCUUACAUACUGGACAUGCAUCCAAAUUCUCGUAUUCCUCCCCACGGUAGAGGAUGCAGUCAUUAGGACAUGCGUGUAUCUUCUGGAUUUCUAAUCCCAAAGGGCAGACAACCUGUUUUGCUUCAUACGUAGUGGUGGGCAAUUCGUUGCCUUUCGGAAGCAUCUUUUUUAUGAUCUUCAAUAACUGCCCAAAUGCCUUGUCAGAUGUACCAUUCUUUGCCUUCCAUUGCAGCAAUUCUAGUGUGGUACCCAGCUUUUUUUGCCCCUCUUCAGCAGUGGGAUAUAGCGAUUUCCUGUGGUCCUCUAGCAUGCGCUCGAACUUGGCUUUCUCUUUAUCACUUUCACAUUCUCUUUGUGCAUCACGGAUGGCAUCACCAAAAGCAUCAUCGCCCCGAUCAUCUUCUGCCGCCACCUCUUCUUCAUUAUCUCCCCCCAUUGCAACAUCAUUGAAGCCACCGUACUGAGCAAUAAUAUUGGCAUGGUCCAAUUCUUCUUCUUCUUCUUCUUCACCUUCAUCCAUUAUAAUCCCGCUUUCUUCAUGUUUGGUCCAACAAAUAUAGUUUGGUACGAAACCAGACUUUAAUAAGUGUGAAUGAAGAGUUCUUGAGUUAGAAUAUUCCGUCAAAUUCUUGCACACGGCACAUGGACAGCACAUGAAACCGUCCCUCUUAUUUGACUCGGUCACACUUAAGAAAUAGUGCACGCCAUUAAUGAACUCUUCGGAGCGCCGAUCGACAUUAUACAUCCAAUUACGUGUUACCAUCUGCAUUAAAGAUAACAUAUAUAUUAUGAAAACCAUGCACACAUAUAGUUUCUCAUCUUAUUGCACAACAUGUCUAAGAUACAUAGUUGAUUAAUUUAGGAAAGCUUGGCUACAACAAAUACAAUCGCAACUAGCAUUAAAAAACAAAACUAAAAUGCACUUAAGCAACAUAAUUAGUUCGCGUCCGAUCCCAACUAUAAUAGAUAGAUCAUUCGCUUGAUCAACAUCAUUGAACUCAUUUCGUCGGCUCACUGCCUCACCACCUUCAGCCUCAACCACCUGUGCAAAAGAUUUCUUAAUGUGUUCAAUGUAUUCUUCCUCUCAGUACCAACCUGUACAUCCGCCGGUACCGUCCCACUGAAAUUAAAAGAGAGAAUCAAAAGUUUAAUUAAUAUCAUUUAAAAAAAUAUGCACAUAUAUAAGCAAAUGUCUGGAAAUAACUCACAUUACGAUCUAGACACUUGUAGAAUAUACGACCCUUGUUUACUCCCUCUUUCGACACUUUGUACUCCAUCAAAAUCUUCUGCCCACACUUGCCACAAGUAAUGAGAGGGAGUUCCGGACGGUAUCGCUUUUGAACCCGUUGAGAGACCGAAGACCCGGUCACGGUUGCCAUCUACUAUCCAUACUCAAUUUUUAAACAAUUAUAAAUUCCACAUUUACUAGUAAACAUGUAUGAUACAAUGGACAUUAUAUGUAGUAAUAAAAAUAAAUCAAGUGAUAUUAACAAACCAAUUAAUUUGAACUAUCCUACUUUCUAUGAUCAUAAAAAUAUACUAUAAUUCAUUCUUGCAAAAUACAUUAAAACUAGGUCAACCAUGAAAUAUGAUAUAUAUAUAUAUAUAUAUGGAUACUAAUUCAUGUGAAUGAUUUAAAAUAACAAAGUGGAUUUGAGCUAAAAAAUGAUGGGAACAUCACAAGCCAAAAACAACAUGAAAAAGACAAGAAAGGCUGAAGUUAGUCACCUCCAAGCACGAAGAGACGAUGACGGAGUCGAAGAAGAUCAACGAUGGGCGUUGGAGAUGAAGAACAAAUGAAGAACAAGCAAGAAGAAGCUCCAAGAACAACAAUGGUGCUCUCGGUUUCAAAUAGGCAGAGGGGAGGAGGGAGCCGGCCUAUAAACCGGACCUUUAGCACCGGUUCAGGGCAAAAACCGGUGCUAAAGGGUUACCUUUUAGCACCGGUUUGUAACACAAACCGGUGCUAAAGGGUUUGCCUCGGCCCGUGGCUCUGGCCGGUGCUAAAGGGGUCUUUAACCCCGGGCCGCAAAAAGGCCGAGGUUUUUGGCCAUUUUGAGCAUCGACCAAUGCCUCAUUCUGUAAUUAAGUGAUAUAUAUAAUUCUCUCAACCGAUAUCCAUGUCAGUGAAAGCCAAUUUACCGGCACGGACGAGCCGGCGUGUCGACCAGCUGGACCACGUGUAUAGAAUGUUGCACGCAUUGACGGACACAUGUUCCAAAAUAUCCAGCUGUUUGAUCGAAUUUCACACAUUCAGCAAGAUUCUAGCGUUGGCUAGAAAUCGUAUUGACUAUUGACUAAUACAUUGGUAUGUUUGGUUGCUAAUUACAAUAUGAUCUUAUCCAAUUUCUUUAAGCAUGACAGAGCAGCGGCUCUUAGGAACACUUCCAAAUACACAUGUGGUCACAAAUAAUGGUCGGCCGGCGAGAAAGUCUCCUAGAAACUAUAUAUAAUUUCUAUAUUUAUUAAUUUUUAUAGAUAAUAUAUAAAAAAUUUAUGGUUUCGAUGAAUAGUUUCAAUAGAAUAAUUUUUUAUCCAAUCACAUUUAUUAUAUCUCCAUUUUCAACCAAUCAUAUCACUUAAUGUAUUGUAUGUUGUGUAGACAUGGUUUCUAAUUUAGGUCAGUCUCAACUCUCAAUGCAUAGUUUCAUGGUACAGUUACUAAGACUAUAAACUAGGUAAGCGAGCCAUAUGAGUUUCAUGGGGAUGAAACUCCUCUCUCAUCUGAUGAAACUACUUCUUCAUUUAAUGACUCUGCCAAGUUAGCAAUUUUACUUAUGUGGCACCCUAUUUAAUGCACAUGACACUCUCAUGAACACAUGCAUUGAGACUAGCCUUAGACCUAGUUUCUAUGAUUUUUGCUCUUUCUUCAAUAACUAUCUUGUCACAUCAGUAAAAUACUUAGGCUAGUCUCAGUGGCUUGUUUUAAUGCACUGUUUCCAAAACAAAUCCGCUGACAAGGCAUCAAUGAAACGAAUAAUGAAACAACCUCCACAAUGCAUGAGUUUCAUCUUGAUGUUUCCUAGGCUAGGCAAAUCAUUUAAUUACUGCAAAAUGAUUGGAUCACAUGCAAGAUGGUGAAACGAUUUAGCCCUAAGUGGGGAUUUCAUCCAAUUUCACCGCGUGGGAAACAACGACCGCGGGUGAAACUACUUCCUUCUCUCUCCUCUUUAUUUCAUGCAAAAAGUGCAAUUUUACUGACACGACGCUCUAAUAAAUGUGCAUGACAUCCUGGUGAAACCUCCACUCAAACUGGCCUUAGAUGACACUACAAUUAAUAUCAUUAUGUAACCAUGGCUUUACUGUGCACGCCGUGCAAUACCAAGCAUAGAUACGGUCAGCACACGCAGCUUGACCAUAUAGCUAGCUAGGUCGCUCGUGGCUUCGUGUUAGGUAGCUCAAUAACACCUACAAAUAGGAGGGUUGGCCGCUGGAAACAAUGGCCACGGCAACAACUGCAGGUCAACCAAUCAACAUAUACGGCCGCGCGCCCUCGAUCACAUGGCCAUGACGAUGGCGACCAGAUCAGUAACCGGAACGGCGGUGCUGUGCUUUCUUGUGGCCUCGCUCCUCCUGGCCGCCUCCUCCUCCGUUAUUGCUGCAACUGCAACGACUGAAGCAGCAGCGGCCUACGGUAGGUAGUCGCGGUGUUCAUACAGUCCCUCAUGCUUUCACCGAACGAACACAGCUACGUACGCUGCUGCAUCUAUCUAUAUAUUCUUAUAUAUGAUCUGAAUAUAUCUGUCGUCGACCGUGCCCUGGUGCAGGUGCAGGUGCAGGCAGGAAGAUGAAGCAGACAGCAGCUGCGGGAGCUGUGGCAACGAAGCAGGAUGACUACGGCUACCCUGGAACUAAUGAAUUACCACCGGGAUACCCGACGGCGCCUGGAAUGAAUUAGUAGUUGCCUCUCUUGAUCUGGCAGCUAGCUACCUGCCGCGGUUGGUCGGUGGAGAACCCUGCAGGCUGCAGCUAUAUAUAUAUAUAUACUAUACAAUACAAUACAUCAUGCGCAUGAUGCAGAAUUACCAUCUCGCUGAAUACAGAUACAGAAAUUAGAUUGCUUUUGAUACAAUCCAACCUCAUGAGUCAUGUCUCGCGCGCUAAGUAAUUGGCAGCUACGUACGCGAGCCUGCCUGUUACACUGUGCUAUACAGCAACUGUACGUAUGCUAUAAGCUGUAUUUUGUUUGAAAUAAAGACCAGCUUUGGGGCACCGGGCAUGCACCAAUACUCUCAAUCUUCUUAAACGACUAUCCUUGUCUUUUCGUGAAAUAUAAUCCUGGAAGUUUAUUAUUAGGCCAC